CAUCCUUAAGAGCUGGAGUGAAUUCCAGGUUAAAGGGAUGGCCUGAAGAAGUUGGAAUUAACCCACCAAAAGCAUCCCCUUUGCCAGUUGUUUUUGGUAGGGGGUCUAGAGACCAUGUUCACCAUUUUAUUGCUAAUAUCUAGCGACCACAAGUCAUUUUUUUAUCUAUUUUUUGAGUCUACUGUACACAAGGUAUUUUAUUAUGAUCAAUAACAGCCAACAGACAUCAAACACUUACGAUGUGGCAGGCUCCUACAUCGCACCAAGAACUUGUAUUAUCUCAGUUCAUUCCUAUAACAACCCUGUGGUGUAGGUACUAUUAAUGUCCCUAUUUCACAGAAUGUGAAACAGCGGCUCAGGAAAAUGAAAUAACUCACUGAAGGCCACACAGCUGACAACUGAUCGAGGCAGGACUCAAACUCAGGUCUCGUUGGCUCCAACCCCACGUGCUUCUGCGUGUAAGCAAGUCCACUCCACAGCCUCCAGCAUGCUUUGCUGCCUUGCUCCUCACUACACCAUGCCUUCUCCCAAUUAGUAGAUUAGUCAUGUGUUGACACUUCUAGUCUCAGUCUAAUGGCUUGUUUAUUUAACUGAUGGAUGCUGCUCCCCAUUUGAGGCCAUUAGCAUUUAAACAAAACAAAACAAAACUGUUGAGCCUGGCAAAGUGACACUGUGUUUACUGUUUUUCUCCCAGUGUUAAUUGUGAGCAUUUUCCAAAUAUGUAUUUUGAUGUGCUAACAGUCCCUAAAGAGGACUGUAGAACAGUUUAGCAAUCUUCUCAUGCAGCUCCAGCCCCACUCCCCAUAAUCUCCUUGGUGAGGGGGAGAAGUCUUGGCUAGGAUGGGGAAGAGGGAUGGUGACUAUCUCAGUCUGAUUAGGGGGCAGGGGAACUGGGCUGGGAAGGCGACUCUGUCCUUGGAGGCUAAGUCCCAGAGUAUCCUCGCUUCACGCUUGGGGAGGGAAUUUGGUAUUUCUUUCCAGGACAAUAAGAACAUCUGUGCCAAGGCAGAGGAGGAGGCCGGGCGCUCCGAGGCAUCUCUGCCGGAGUCUCUUGACACUGUCCGAUUGUUACUAUUUCAGUUUCUGCUUGGAUCACUGACCUUGUCCAUUUAGAGCAGGCUGACUUGGGCGAAGACAGUGUAGGGCUGAGGAAGGACAGAGAGGACCCGUCUGGCUGGGGGUGGAGGUGUGAGGUGGGCAGGGAGCUGGACCAACUCUAAAGCGACCAGGUUACAAAUGAGCUGCAAAGUACAGGGUGAAUCUUGCAUCCGUAAAUGGGAGGAAGGAGUGCUUCCACUGUCCACCCCCCACCCCCCGGCCCCUGGGGUAAGUGCUGUUGACCUCAGGUCCAGUUUGUUUGCAGCCUCCCUCUUCUGACAGAUCGGGCUUCAGGUCGACCUUGGGGUAAUGGAUGAAGAACUACAGGUUUGAUCCUUACACGGGACAGUUUGCUUCACACUGAGAAAAACCUGGCUACUUUCUGCCUCCCAGCUCCAGUUGCAAACUGGAGUUAAAGUCGAGUUUCUGGCUCCCUGCAAAGUAUUCCUAGUACUAGAAAGUCACGUCACCCGGUGUGUUCGUGUGGUGACUGCAGCCAUAUCUAGUCCCAGCGAGUCGGCCUCCCAUUAGGGAUGAGCUAAGACAGCUCCUUCGUUUCUUCCUCACUCAGACUUAGCCCUGGAACUGGCAGUUCUGGGGACCAAGAGGUAGGCAUCUGCCUCCUGCAUAAUUAGUUACAUCAGUCUCAAAAAGCAUUGAUGGCCCAUCCCUUUGGGUAUCAUGCUGUGCCUGGCACGAGCUAGUAAUCCCCACCCGGUCCUGGCCCUCCCGAGUUUACAACCUUAAGUCACACAAUGACACAGAUCCCAAAGGCGAGCAGUUAACAAAUACAUCCACUUGUCCACCAAUCACAAGGGAUCCAUUGAGUGAGCCACUGCAACAAACAGGAACCCCUUCAAAGAGCUUCCAGUCUGGUGGGUAAGUAGGACCAACUACAUAAUCCUUGGUAAGAAAAGGAGGUGGCCCUGACAAGUGCAACUCGAGAAAUGCAAUGCUGUAGAGUCCAAAGGUGUCUGACUUGAACGAAAUGAUCCCACUGGGGGACAAUGCAACAUAUACUCCAGGGUCAUGUUUUGUCAUGAUGCAGCAAGGAGAUCUGUUCCUAACUUGGACUUGGUUGUCUAACCCUCAUCUCUUCUCUUUAUUACAAGGUAAGCAUAGUGGAAAACAUAUUGGACUUAGAUUCAAACACACCUGAACCUGUAACUUAUGAGCCAGGUGACCUUGGGGGUAAGUAAAUUUAUUUCUCUAAUGGGGUUAAAUAAUGCCUACUCAAUGCUUUAAAAGAUUUUCAGUGUGGAAUAAGACUGCAAAUGCUUACAAUAAUAGCACUAAGACUAAUAACAGCUAACAGUUAAUUAUAUAAUGCUUACUAUAUGCUAGGCACUGGUAUUAAGGUCUUUACAUGAAGCACUCAAUAAAUAUUAGCUGCAGAGAAAUCUCACGGAAUUGACUAUAUAACCUGCCCUAACUGACGGGAACGUUACCUAUUCUUUCCAUCAAGGGAACUGAUUGCUUCCAGAAGCUUUUGAUGCUUUCUCUCUCCAUCAUUGUCCCCCUAAGACACAGAAAAGGAAAAACAAUCAGGAUGAGGGGGAGGGAAAAGACAACAUGGAAAUUGAGUCUCAUGUAAAAUCUCUUGUUAUUUAUUUAUUUAUUUUUGAGACGGCGUCUCGCUCUGUUGCCCAGGAUGGAGUGCAGUGGUGUUAUCUUGGCUCACUGCAAGCUCCGCCUCCCAGGUUCAUGCCAUUCUCC
rnacentral:lncRNA from 1 species